AAUCGCUUGACGGAGCGCGAGUAAUAGCUCGCUGAGAUUGUGUAAAUUUCGUGUUAUCGCAACACCAGUUUGAUCACAAGUACCGUUGAACCUGAUCAGGUUAAGACCUGCGUAGGAAUCAAGCCAUCUGAAAAC
rfam:Acinetobacter baumannii str. SDF, complete genome.